CCAUGCAAGUCGAACGGCAGCGCGGGGCAACCUGGCGGCGAGUGGCGAACGGGUGAGUAAUACAUCGGAACGUGCCCUGUGAUGGGGGAUAACUACGCGAAAGCGUAGCUAAUACCGCAUACGACCUACGGGUGAAAGUGGGGGAUCGCAAGACCUCACGUCAUAGGAGCGGCCGAUGGCGGAUUAGCUAGUUGGUGAGGUAAAGGCUUACCAAGGCGACGAUCCGUAGCUGGUCUGAGAGGACGACCAGCCACACUGGGACUGAGACACGGCCCAGACUCCUACGGGAGGCAGCAGUGGGGAAUCUUGGACAAUGGGGGCAACCCUGAUCCAGCAAUGCCGCGUGUGGGAUGAAGGCCUUCGGGUUGUAAACCACUUUUGGCGGGGGCGAAAUAUCGAGUGCUAAUACCAUUCGGUGAUGACGGUACCCGCAGAAUAAGCACCGGCUAACUACGUGCCAGCAGCCCCGGG
rnacentral:rRNA from 1 species